rnacentral:sRNA from 1 species
AAAACAAAACACAACAGACUCAUCGUUUCUCAUUGGAUCAGUGCUGGGGCUUCAAAGAGGCCUGCUCAUCCCCAUGCUCUUGCGACCCUUUGCCGGAUGCCUCCCUACAGCAGCCGUGCAGAACAGAACUCUUUCUAAAACGUCACCCACAGCAGACGCCAGUGCUUCAGCCAUGGCUUGAACGUUCUCACGUCUCCCACUAUUAUCUGCAUCUGAGUUCUCUUUACUCCCCUUAAACUACGACCGUGAAAGAGAGCGAUUUCUACAUCAUUUAGUUAUUUAUCUCCGUAAUACUCAGGAGUGAAAUUUUUAAAAGUGGCUACCAUUACUCUUGCUGCUAACAAUUGGCAGCUAUCCUGGGGAAGUGGUACGCGGGAUGAAAUGAGCCCCUGUAGGAAACAUGGCCUUUUCUUGUUUCUAAUAUUUUUUCGUCUUUGGUGUCAUCAGUCAAAUUAAUCUAUUUUCUCUUUCCACAUGACUCUCCAAAGUGAGAGAGAAGUUAAGGGUUUGAAGAGGCUGUUCUGGGCUUCCCACUGAACAUGGGGCUUAGGAUGUGGCUGGGCACCUGCUUCCCUUAACCCCUUGAGAUCUGAGAAUUCAGAACCCUUUCCUGUAGCCUAGCAAAAACAAAAACAGGAACAAACAAGGUGGGGGUGGGGUAUGUGGUGGCAUGGGGUGGGGGAUGUAUUACAGAAUACCAGUGCUGGUAUCAUGUUUCUCUUCCCCAUCUCCAUGUCCUAUUCCUCUUCUUCAUUUAUUAUUGUUUUAAAAAAUAACUCAUUGUGUCCAAUUAGUGGUACCUAUUCAUGGCACCAUCCACUAGAGCUUAAAAAAUACACAGACUCUACCUCAUGCUCAUGUAUACUCGAGGGUACAGACCUGACAGUAUACAGAAGACAAGAGAGAACAAUGUAAAGGGCUGAGAGAAAUACAAGUUCUGAGACUUGGGGAGGCACGGUCUCUAUGUAGGAUCCGUGAGUGCCCGGGCAUACUUGGAACUGACACCCGCCGGGACCUACAGGAUGGAGACCUAGCAGGUUAUUGAUUUUGCAGGUGUCUGAAUUUGAAGUGACAAAUUACUUGGUUACAGUCAGCUUUAGUGUUGCCUUCUUUACACAACUACACUAACACAUUUCUAGGCAACUUUGAGGACUCUUAAAAUUAAAACGUUUUAUAAAUAACAAAGCCACAGAGGGAAAACCAGGUGUAUUUACUAUUAUCAAAGUUCAUCUCCAUGUGCGUGUCUGAACAUAGCAACAGCAGCACAGAGGGAUCGCCUCAGUUACCCUGCUCCUCUGGAUCAUUUAGCUGCUGGCUAUGGUAUAGAGCUUCCAUGGUAUAGGACUUCUAUGUUCUAGAACUCCCAUGGUAUAGAACUUCUAUGGUAUAGAACUUCUAUGGUGUAGAGCUUCCAUGGUGUAGAGCUUCUUGUUCCAUCUCUGACUCCUUCCCCUUGCCCUCUGCUACAUGUGCUAUUCCCUCCAUCCCAUGCCAUUCAGAGAACACAGCCCUACACUCCUGCAGAGGCAGACUCAGGUACCUCACAUCUCUGUGUCUAAUCCCUUUGGGGGGGGGGUGAGGAUACACAGCCACCAAGUCUUGUGAAGCUAUGCCAGCCAUCUCAGCCAUUCCCCCGACACAUUCGUGACAUCCUCCUGCCGUAGAGGCUGAGGAUUUAUGUGACUUUAAUUGAAGGCUACAGAAGGGACAGGGAAACAUCAGCUCCUAUCAAUCACCGCGUCCCUUGCUUUCAUUGUGUACUUAACAGCUUGUUACUUAUUCAGGAGGGGGAUUCUGCACUGAGUCUGUCUCCGUGCAAACAGUCUUCCCAGGCUGAAGAAAGCCCUGAAACAGGGAGGUGGCCUCAUUAGGCACACAGGCCUGUGCCGCAUACCGAAACAUGGAGACACAGUGCUGAUGACCACGACUACAGUGGGGGAGUCAAGGGUUCCAGCAUCCUCCCGCUUUCCUGUCUAUGUCCCCGCAAGACUUCCCAGGCGUGUUUGACACCAUGGCCCUUUGUUGUGUUUUCAAAGCGAUCCUUGCUUGGCUCUUCUCAACAAUGAACUCUGCGACUGUUUAACUGAAAUCUCCUAUGGGGGGAACUUGAUGUCUGGUUUACUGUGCUCUCUUACAGAAUGCCUGCAGCACAGCAGACCCCUGAAGGAGCGAGCAUACGGCUGCAUGCACGUGAGGAAUGCUAACACUCAGUCUUGGUUCUGACUCCCCUUUUACCUUACGCCUCUACGCCAUCUGUAGAGGCUUGAGGACCCUUCAUCUUUAUCUUUUCUAAGGGCCAUCCUUUAGGGGGCUCAUUCAAGACCCAGUACGGUUAUCACCCGGCUCUCAGGUACUGCCUUGGCGUGUGAUGCUGAACUGUUCCUCCUGACCCCCAGGCAGAUCUCAGUCCCAAGUUUACCCGCCCAAGGUUUUGCUUCCCAACUUAGCUCAGCCCACUACCCUGGUGGUCGAAGUUAGGUUCCUACUUGCCAGUCGUUUCCCACUGAGCUACUGAUGUGUCUGACCCUGCGGACAGGCUCUUCUGUGAACCAAGGAAGAUGUCACCUGGGAACCAGUUAGAGGUCGCUUGGGCCUUUGUGUGGUCUUUAAAAUAAGGGGGUUUGCAAGCCAAUGAUGCGUAUUUUCUUAAUCCGUUUCACACAGAAGAAGGGGUUUUAGUGUGAGAUUUGCAAUCUUGUUCUUCAUCUAUUUCCCUAUUUCAACCUGACUACCUGGUUCAAAUUACCAACUGAUACCUGGGUAGGUUAUCAUGCAGAGAUAAGUGCCCCCUGCCCCACUGCGCCCCCAACAAUGGAGCAAACAUGACGGUCACCAUACAUGUGACUUCAGUAGUCCCUGGUGGGUGGGCAUGGAGUGACAGUGACCAUCAUGAGCCAACACAGUGAGCCUACAACCUUGAGCUGAAUAUACAAGGUUCCCAUGGGUCUGACACGCCCCGGGGAGUUUCCAUUCCUCUGCCCUAAACCUCUAGGGUUACUGGGAAUUUCUCCAAGGGCACAGGGAAGUGCUUGUGCUUGGAUUCAGAUUCCCCAAACAACAAGGAAAAAACCCAGGGGGCUCAGCGAGCCCCUCUGGAGGUCUGAACAGGUGAGACUGGCAGCUCUGCCUUGGGUUCCACUGGUGGUGGCCGAGUUGGCAGCCAUAGAGAUUUGCUGUGGCAGAAUACUUAAAGAUGUUCACACAGAGGGACAGAAGGGACAGUCGUUCAUUGUCCUCCUAUGGGACUCCAUCACUUGAAAAGUAAGGCCUAGAAAUUACAAUAUCAGCCGACUUCCAUACAUCCAUUUCCUUCACAAUGGUUGGCAUAUGCUGAGAAGGGAAUGCUCGGAGGGGCUGCUCACCACCACCCGGCCUUGCAAAGAACAAGGACACAGGAAGGAAGAAACGCAAUCACUAGCCCAAGGAAGAGACACCCAGGGAUGGGCACCAUUGUGUAGGAUGAGGUGAGGGAUAAUACAAAUUAUGAUUUCAGACCCUGGUAGGCAAGCUACACCAUGUUCUUUUCACAUCUGAAUCUCUGUACAGCAUGUUCUUGGUGACUACAGUCAAGGUCCUUGGAACACUCACAGUAGCUUACUUGAGUUUUUAAAAAGCCAGGUAUAAAUAUCAAUGCUGCUGCAGAGUACGCAGAAUAAAAUUUAACAUCUUUUGAGGGAGUCUUACUUCUGAGGCGCUGUUUGAAGUGCUUUAAGUGUCCUAUCUCGUUAGAUUUACAAUUCGCCAUCCUGUGAAAUCAGUCCUGUGGUCUCUGCCCUUUGCCAUACGAUCACAGACAGGCCCUGGGCAUGGCAAGUUUCUGGGAACAUACAGAUACUGAGCCAUGAAGUUGAGGGAGACUCUUCCCUUCCUUCUUUCCUUCUGAAGAUAAGGAGGGUCUCCCAGCAGCUGGGCUCUAGCUCACCCCCACUAUCCUCCUGGUUCAGCAGGUCAAGUACCAGAAUAAGGAGGCUGGAGCUUAGCUGACUGCCCCAUCUCAGGAGAACUACAGAGCAAGCAUCAGGAAGACAGGCAUAUACUCUGAGCCACAAGAGGAAGCCAGCAGAGAAACCUGUGUGUCCCACACAGAAUAGCCCUUGGAAAAGUGGUUUUACAUCAGGUCAGUUUCGCCUUUAAUGUGUUUGUUGGCCUCCUGCUGAGACAGAAUAGGUUCACCUUGUGAGCAGGCAAGCUCAGGCUGCCAGCCCUCAGCUCUUCAGAGCCACCCAGAGUUUUCCCAGGGCAAAGGCUUCCUGUCUCCCUCCCUUCAGUGUCCCCUACCUAGCUCUCAUGGUGGCAGCCUCUAUACCUAAAAUAUCAUAGUGCCUCAUGUCCCCCCAGUCCUCUCUGGGUUCCCUUAGUCCCCCCACCCCCGACCCAUACGCCCUGAAACCCAGCAAACCUGACCCUGCCUACAGUUGCCCAAUUGACGCAGAGCACAGUUCCGAACCCGUUCUCUCCCAUGCCUCUUUGGAGACUUUUCUUCCCUGUGAGCCACUCCGAGGCUACCACUCACACCUGUUUCAGUGUACCAGGCUGGCACGAUGCUUCAUGUCCUUUGUGGACACAGUGUGGCUUCUUUGGAAGCUUUUUUCAGAAUGGUCUAUGAAACGCCCCACUCCCCACAGCACCAGCCCAGCCUCAGCCUGGCUAUGGAAGCUGGGUGUGUCUGGGGUCCUGCAAGCGGUACCAGAGAGGCAAGGGUGGGAAAGCACCUCCCCCACUUUCCAGAGGCCAAUCAUUGUCUAAGGUAACCGUGAUUCCAAGUACAUGCCCUUUCACAGCUGGCCCACAUUCCAGGACAACAUCCAACAGAGAGCAGAGCCCUUCCAAAGGCAGAAUGAAUGGCUUUCCCGGUAUUAACUCCCUGGUGUUUAAUGUCCGUGGACUCUGCAGAGAGCCACCUCCGAGAAUCCUGCAGGCAUAAUUGCCUUUCUUGCACUAGACCAGACCUCCGCAUCUCAAUGUGGUUGUGGGGCACUGCCCAGAAUUAAGAACUACAGGAGUCAAAGAGACACAGCUGGAUUACUGACCCUAGAAGGACGGGGCGGCCUGCCUGCUCCAGACCUUGCUGGGAGGUGAAGGCUAUCGUGGGAAAAUGACUACGUAUGAGAGACAAGGAGAGUCCACUAGUGAGAGAGACAAUGCACUUAUUCUACGACGGGGUGGACUGCCUCGUCCUCAUUAAUGGUGGAAACUGAAGAGUAAUACUCCAUUUCACUAGGGACUGUUGUUAAAACAAGUCUCAAAGAGGAUAUAAGGAAUGGAACCAUUACCAGACCUGCAACCCACUGAUGAUGCAGAAGCCACUCGGCCAGGAAAACAAGAGAAGGGGCAACAGAGAAGUGAGAGGUGAGGGAGAGGCUUGCUUGGGGUAUGCUGGGUCGGGGCUCACUGGGGUCGGGGCUAGCUGGGGCCAGGCCGAGAAACAGAAGCUGUGCACUGAAGGCCAGUGUUGUGAUGAACUAAGACAGUCCUUUCAGUUCCACUGGGAAACAGUUUCAAGUGGCCAUCACCAUCUGAAGGCCAGGUAUGGGAACUCAUUUUUUCUUCAGAGUGUGGAAUGGGUGCCAGAACCCUGACAACUGUACACCUCAGGAAUGGCUGCCGUGGAGAGUGGGGUGCUCUCCUCGCAGCUUAGUGCUGACUACUCCUGAGGCCUGGGCUGGGUUCUGGGCUGGGAACCUAUAAGCCAAUCCACCUUUCUGGAACACAGAGAGCAUGUAUAAGAAAGCCAGAAUACUCUCCCAGACGUCACUGGAACCAUCUACUGUGCUGCGGUGACAGAGGCCCUGCGAUGUCUGACCCCUCAGAAACUCUCGCUGACUUCUGCCAUGUUCACAGUGAAGUCUGCCCUCCCAGAUGCAAAUCUCUGAAGCCAGAAAACCCCUCCAGGUUUCUCCUUUUCAAACUGUGGCCAGAGGGUGGCAAUCAAAACUAAUUCAAUAGGACACACCGUGGGGAGGGGAUGGGGCUGCAUGCACAGACAGGUACAGUACUGAAGUCGAAUGAGUUUUCACAAGACUGACUGUUUCUGAAGACAUAUCAAGAAAUGUGUUCUGUGGAAGAGGAGCUGGGCAGCCCUUUCCUGAAGAAAGAGACAGACACGUCACAGGAGAUGGGACAGCUGUGCAUUUGCCCCAUGGGACCAGCAUGACUUCCCACCUGGCUGAGUGCUCACCACACAGGUGAGCCUGGCUUCUGGCUCAUUCCUGUGUGUGCUUGCGAUUCUUGUGUAUCUUAAGCUUCUGCAUGGUAUGGAGCGCUGACCAGGAGGUUGGUACUAUCUAUUGAGUCAGUUAAUGAGCCUGGUCACUCCUCCUAAUGUCCUGGUUCUGACACAACCUUCUGUCCCUGCAGAAGGCUUCAUCUUGGCAGCAGGUGUGGACUCUUCUUGCCAGUGUGGCCUGACCAGAGACAUUUCUACCUCCUGUUAUUUUCUAGAUCCCCGUGAGUGCUCAUCAUCCAACAUGAGGGCCAGCACUGCAUCUUCUGAGACAAGGCAGAUGGGGAGAAGUUCAAGGGGACAGUGUCACACUGUCUGUCUGGAUGCUGUGUGUCCUCCCAAGGCAAUCUCUAAGAACCAUGCCAAGGCUUCUUAAAAAUGUCCAGCUCAGGUUUCUCCACAUGGAGGGAGUGAAGUUCAGGCCUUGAGCUUUUACUAAAGAGUUUACUUUUUUAUUGACUAGUGAAGCAGGCUCCCUUAGGGUUGUCGAGGCCAGGGAAGGGGGAGGUAAUUUUAUGCUUAUAUGGUGUCCGUUAGUCUCUGGGUGCCAUGACGCCCUCCUUCCUAACCAUGGAGCUGUGCUCUGUCUUAAGAGUAACUAAGGGCUCACAGGGAGGUGCCAUUCACAUGGGUGAAUUUGAUCCUCACCAUGUGAGGUACCUGUUCAGGGCCUGUUCUUCUGUUUCCUAGCUUGCCUUCCUCAUCUACAAUCUGUGGAUACUCUCGACGCCUACCUCUGUACUCACGCCAACAAGCUGGUGAGUUCUGCCCAGGGAUGGAGACCCAUCUGCAUAGAGAGCUGCUCUGCUGAGCUACCAAACACUCCUUCCACCUUGAUACACUCGGGAGGCUCCGAUAACUUCCAGGACAGCACAGGAUUUGAACCUUGUGACUAUGGAUGGUAUGCAGCUAGUGAGAGCGACUUCAUCCUACAGUGGCCAUGAGAUGAUGGAUGGACAGCAGAUGCUAUCAAUCUAUGGAUUCUCUGAACUGAAACGACCAAGCCUCUUACUAAGAUUCUACCUUCUCUUAAGUCAGAUAUGUACUGAGAUGAAUACACCAUAACCAUUCUUUUACGGAGGCGAAGUUAUUCUCUGAGGUAAUCGUGAAGCUGAGUCCUAGCAAAGGUUUGUAAGGAGAUGCCUAGCAGACAUUUCUAGCAUGUAACAAAUGCCACCAGGGUCACCCAGAAUGAAGAACGAAUGCCCAGACUCACGGACAGUCCCUGUUCUGAAGGCCACCAGCUGGGCCUUUCUAGGCCAAGGACCUGGGCAUUGUUGUUGAAUGGAGGAGGAGGAGCGUUCAGAGAACUCCACUGGUCAUGUAUAAAUUUGGGAAGUCCAACAGGAUCUACGGCUACCGGUUGUUAACCAUGGAAAUGGUAUGGCCAACACUUCAAAGACUUAGUGUUUCUGGAGGUCCCAGCCAGGUAAGUUUGAGAUGACUCAGACAUCGGCAUUAUUGACGCCCAUCUAAGCAUCUAUCCUAGCAUGAGGUUUUCCUCUGGUUAUGCCAAAGCUCUUUCAUGUUCUUAUUUUGUGUUGAAUGAAAACAUCGGAAUUUCCAGAAUCCCGGAUAUCUGCAUUUGAAAGACCUCAAUGGGGGACUCGGAGGUCCUUGACUUUGCCGAGCUUCAGUAAGGAGGGACAUGUCUCCUCUCUUAGGACUGUUGGGAGGACUAAGUACAACCAUACAUGUCAGUCCUGGAACAAGGCCCUGUUCAUUCCUUCAUCAGUCAGAUUUUCCUCGCUGAGACCAGACGCCAGAGAGAGAAACUCAGAGGAGCAUGUUCCAAAGCUUCUGAGGCCUUGGUCUGAUUCUGGCGGAGCAGAGGGGACAGAGGAAUACAGGAGAGGCCCAGGGAAAGCAAGCAGUAGCACUGAGGACGACAUCUCCAGUGACCGCUGCCUCCUGACUUUCACCAGUUCCCAAUGAGGCCGUCUAUGUUAACGGCUCUGGCAGGGGAAUCUAUCCACUGACAGUGUUAGAGUCCUCAGGAUCGGAUCAUUCUCCCAGACCCAUCAGCCGGGAACCAAGUCACUAACAGUUCCUACUCGGAAGACUCCCCUCGUUUGUGGGAAUGAAAGCAACAUUCUGGUUUAAGUUUCAGAACAGAAUUCAGAGCCCUGAGAGCAUGCCUUGUGCUUUGAGAACAGAAAAGCUUAGGAACUGAGAGCUCUAAGUAGCCGGCCCCUGGGGGUGGAGGUGGGGGUGAGGACCAGAACAGCGCCUAAUUUUGAAGGGAAACAGGAAGAGGUCUGAGUCACACUCAUCAGCUCUCACACCGGGAUCUCCAGGCAGCUACUUAGUAACUUUUCUAUCCUCCUCCUGUGCUGUGAAUCAAAGAGCUUAAGAUCCCAGGCUCUGGAGCCAGCCAGAAUUCUGGUGUGAACCCUAGUCCUGUCACUUUCUGGUUAUGAGACCUUGAACGGAUUGAUUAGUACCUCGAUUUCCCCUGCUGUAAAUGGGAUCAGUAAUACUGCGGACGUUUCACAGCAUGAGGGUUGAGUGAGUUAAUAAAAUGUGUUCACAAGAGAGGGAAUGCUAGCCAUCACAGUUUUAGGGCUGAAAAUGGCAUAGCCUAAGACCAGAUCAUUUUUCACCUGGACUAUUUCAUCUGUCUGUCUGUCAUAUAGAUCUAUGCUGACAGAAGUUUUUCUUUUUUCUUUUUUCUUUUUUUUUGG